UUUUCUUUUGGACCAAGGUCAAAGUUACAUAGAUAAUGUACAUGUAAUGGAAAUACAAUUGGAUUUUGACAAAGAUAAAAUUCAUUAUCAAGUAUGGAAUUCAAGGGUUUGGUUAGGAUUUGAUUUAAGAUUUGGUUGGGAUUUGAUUUAAGGUUUGUUUAGGAUUUGAUUUAGGAUUUAGGAUUUUAUUAGGAUUUAAGAUUCAAUUAGUUUUGGCCUAAAGUUUGAAUGAAGUUCAAUAGGAUUUUAACUAGAAUUAAAUUAAGAUUGAAUUGAGAUGUAUUUGAGUGAUAUUUGUGAUCUUUUUAAUAUUCCUUUAAGAAUUCUUAUCGUUUCUUUGAAAUUU
rnacentral:lncRNA from 1 species